CCUACGGGAGGCAGCAGUGGGGAAUUUUCCGCAAUGGGCGAAAGCCUGACGGAGCAAUACCGCGUGAGGGAUGAAGGCCUAUGGGUUGUAAACCUCUUUUUUCAGGGAGGAACAAAAUGACGUGUACCUGAAGAAUAAGCAUCGGCUAACUCCGUGCCAGCAGCCGCGGUAAU
rnacentral:rRNA from 1 species